UACGGAGGGAGCUAGCGUUGUUCGGAAAUACUGGGCGUAAAGCGCACGUAGGCGGCUUGGCAAGUCAGGGGUGAAAUCCCGGAGCUCAACUCCGGAACUGCCUUUGAAACUGCCUAGCUAGAAUCUUGGAGAGGCGAGUGGAAUUCCGAGUGUAGAGGUGAAAUUCGUAGAUAUUCGGAAGAACACCAGUGGCGAAGGCGACUCGCUGGACAAGUAUUGACGCUGAGGUGCGAAAGCGUGGGGAGCAAACAGGAUUAGAAACCCCCGUAGUCC
rnacentral:rRNA from 1 species